rnacentral:lncRNA from 1 species
GAAUGGAAGGCAGGGGCAUGUGUCACUGGAGUCUAGCCACCAUAAAUGUCAAUGUGAGGAGUAAAGACCAGCUGGUGUUGUUAUUCCAUUUAUGAGAGCCUGGGAAGAAUUGAGAGCAUGACCAUCUUGGAAGAGACCAGAUCAUCUCAGAAGUGACCUCGCUGGAGCCAGAGCACAUUCCCAUGGAUCCUGAAGGCCCUUAUUUUUCACCCAGGCCAUGGGGACCAUUUUGUAUCAACAAGGAGAAGCUUGUGCAGUUGGCUCCCCUCCUGCCUGUGCUGUCUGGACUCUGCUGACCGUCUUAUUUUGCAUGAACAGAGCUGUCCUGGUCCCAGACAUCUUUUGCUGGUAUGGGGACCAGAAGUCAGAACCGGAGGUCCAACAGUCCCUGGAGCUGGAGAUGAAUGUGCUUAGGGCAUGGAGUGUGGGGAUUCUUCAGUUUUCCUACAGAAAAAUGCCCACUGCAUAUUUCAUGGUAGCCAACUGUAAUUUUGUCUCGUUUGAUUGUCUUGAUUUCUCUUCAUCCUCCAGAAGAGCAUCUGUUCAACAUGAAUACAGUAUGCAGCUCUUCCCUUGUUUGGUGAGAAAGGACAGCCUGCCAGUAGGAAGAACAGAAGCCUUGCUUUCAUCAGGCUGCAGCUUUUGCAUUCUGGAUGGUCCAGGCCCUCCCCUGGCUAUCAAGGCAGGAGCUGCUUCACCAACCAUCAAGGAGCUUUGGACAAAUGGAUCCUGGACUUUAGCCCAUCCUUUCCCAGCUGCUUUGUGAAGAGCUGACUAUUUUCUGGCACUGACAGAGGGACAGGAGAGGGUAUACAUAGCCAGACUUGAUGUAGCAUUAUCUUCUGGGGUCAUUUCAGAGAUUUUCCAGGGGUUACUUUGAGCCCUACCUGUGAUCUGCAAAUCCCUGCUUUAAGAAUUCCCAAGCUGCAGCUCUACUGUGUUCAGAACAGAAAUGAGACAAGGUCUGGAUUCUGACUGGUGGCUAACUGAGAUACCAGUCUUUCAAAUGGCUUGUAGAUAAGUGGCCAGGCCUCUACAGUACCCAUGAGCCACUGUGGGGUCAGGCAUCCUGCAGGCUCAGAGCCCACAGAUCCGGAAUCUUGGCCAGCAAGUGGGAGUCAGUGUUCUCACCAGAAGCCCCAGAAGAAUCGCCAGGGUAUUCAACACUAAGUGUUGCCUGGGCAGUGAGCAAGUUCAACCUCCUCACUGGAAAUUAUGAGAAACUUUUCGGCCUGUUUAAAGGAUGUGGUUUAGUUCUGCCUAGAAUGUAGCAUGCAAGUGACCCCUGCUCUACUGGGUGAGCACACACACGUAGACAUGCACACAGAAGACAUGUAUAGACCCUGAACACACCGAUAUGAACAAGGCAAGAAAAGGACACUGGACUCCUAGCCAUCAGACCAGCCAAUCAGCAGAGGCUCCCCAGGCACCAGGAUGUUUCUAGAAUUCCCUAUUUAAUUAAAAACGACAGGCUAUGUGGGGUGUGGGGAGGUGAUAUCAAACAUUUGUUUCCUAUCAUUUGCGAUUCUGUGAGAGGUUAGCAAAAAGGGCCAUUUUGUCCCGUAGGCCCUCCUGUCUUGGCAAAGAUGAUUUGCAUUUGUCCUGAGCGGCCAAGGGAGCUGGGCUUCCGGAGACCUGGCAGUGGGCUUUUAUACUGUCGAUUACUCAGAUUUCUUCCCUCUUCAUCCAAGCUGAGUUCUGGACCAUCCCUGGCCCCUCAGGACCCUGACUCAGGCCAACGUUGCUGUGUUGCCUCACCUCUGCAACCUCUCUCUGUAGCCGGGGCACCUAGCCCCUCUGCUCUGCCAGACCCCCACAGGGAGAGAAGCUCCAUCAAUUUGUGAGGACUGGACCUCUACCAACUAGCUAGUUCCAAAGAGGAAUGACACUUGGAGCCUCAAGAUUUUCAGGUAUCUCAAUUUAAUGCUUUAAAAACUCAAGGAUGAAGUAGUGAUGGUAUUACAUUUGAACAAAUUUGGCCUCCCAAAGCAGGCCUAAUCACAUAAAAGAUGCCCAUGGCCGGUGUCCAGAGCCUCGCUUUCCCAGGACCAAGCCUGCCAUCCUCAUUGGACCUGUGAGCCUCUCACCAAGUGACCCCUGUCUUCUAAAUUCAUCUCAUCUCCUUUCACUCUUCUGAAUGCGAAGGGGAAGGCAAACUCUUGUUGCCUCAAGAUAUCCCUCUUCAUUUCUGUGCCUCCUCUGGUGUCACCCCCAGGCCAGGGCCCCCUUCCCUGGUUCAGAGCCCUGUUUGAGCCCCACCUGGCCUCAGCAUCACUCACACGUGUCAUGUGGGGUGGCUUGCAGCCCAGUCCCAUCAGCCACUUUUUGGGUUUCUUUGUGUCCCCUGCAUCAUACCUAGCAGAUAAAAAUGUCAAUGGUUAAAUUCAAAAUGGAAAUUUCAAAGGCUGCCUUAGUUUCCUGAAAGCUCUGAGUAGAUUUCCUCACUCAGCCCCACCCCCAUCCACCAUGUAACAAAGGAAUAGAAUGACUUCUUUGUUCUUCUGGGACAAACUUUUUUUUAAAAAAAAUCUUGCUCAGCCUGCCCCUAUAAAAGGCUUAUCUCCAGGGCUGGUAGGAGACAUUUUAAUUCCUUCCUGUUUGCUGAUCUUUCUCCUCAAGGCCCCUCAGCUCAGGCCCCACCCCGUGCCCCAGGUAAGGUCACCCAGGAGUGCUGGAGUCCAUCUGUCACCUGACACACUCUCUUUAUAGCCACUACAGGCUGGGCACUGGCCACCAGACCAUGGGCAUUACUUCUGGAACACUUCAAGAGGGUCCACUGUCUCGUCUCACAACCCGCCUCCUUGUCUUAUAGGGAGGUGUCCUCUGGCUCAUUUGAUUUUGUAAUUUCUCUUUCUUCAUUUCCCAUCGGCCUUCUCUUUUCCCAGCCCUUUAUGUUAGGAGUGAAUUUAGGUAAUUCUCAUUUUAGAAUUUUGCCACAUCGUUGGAUAUUUAUGGAGCCCCUCAGGUGUCAGGAAUCAUUACUCUCUUCUGGGAAUGUUCCUGAUUUAGGCUUUAGCCCUCAGUUCUAUUUUGUUCUGAUGGAUCACCCCAAAGGUUUCAGAAAGUAAGGUGCUGAAAAAUGUGUCUGCUGGUCUUGUGAGGGGAUUCCUGUAUUUUGUAAAAUGCAGUGAUGAAUCACUCAUGACAGAGCUUUCUGUUAUAAAAAUGCUGCAGUGGAAUAAAUUUUCUUUUUCACUCA